rnacentral:misc_RNA from 1 species
CAGAUUCCAACUACAGGGCAAUAAUGGAUGGUUGUAAAAGCUUAGCGGAACUUGCCAUGCUUCCAAUGGAGAGAUUAGCAGAACUGAUGGGUGGUCAGAAGGCUGCGAAAAUGUUAAGGGAAUUCCUCGAUGCAAAAUACCCAACCUUGCUGUAGCUCCCCUUCCCAUUGGAUUACUUAAUGCCAUUGUUCUAGGAAAAGACCUAGCUAUACUGUUGUAUCAUCAUCGGCACGUCCUUGGAUCUUACCUGCUG